rnacentral:rRNA from 1 species
CAAUAGCGUAUAUUAAAGUCGUUGCAGUUAAAAAGCUCGUAGUUGAAUUUUUGCUUGCCGCCGAUGUCGGAACUUCCGUACGUUCGGCGGCGUGCAUCCUUGGGUGGAACCUGUGUGGCAUUAGGUUGUCGUGCAGGGGAUGCUCAUCGUUUACUGUGAAAAAAUUAGAGUGUUCAAAGCAGGCUUACGCCGUUGAAUAUAUUAGCAUGGAAUAAUAAGAUAGGACCUUGGUACUAUUUUGUUGGUUUGCGCACCGAGGUAAUGAUUAACAGGGACAGUUGGGGGUAUUCGUAUUCCAUUGUCAGAGGUGAAAUUCUUGGAUUUCUGGAAGACGAACUACUGCGAAAGCAUUUACCAAGGAUGUUUUCAUUAA